GACGAACGCUGGCGGCGCGCCUAACACAUGCAAGUCGAACGGAGUUAAGAGGAGCUUGCUUUUCUUGACUUAGUGGCGAACGGGUGAGUAACGCGUGAGUAACCUGCCUCAGAGUGGGGGACAACAGUUGGAAACGACUGCUAAUACCGCAUAAGACCACGGUCUCGCAUGGGGAUUGUGGUAAAAGGAUUUAUUCGCUUUGAGAUGGACUCGCGUCCAAUUAGCUAGUUGGUGAGGUAACGGCCCACCAAGGCGACGAUU
rnacentral:rRNA from 1 species